rnacentral:tRNA from 1 species
AGGGCGCUAGUUUAAUUUCUAAAACUUUGUCUUGUCAAGACAAAGCUGUGGGUUAGAGCCCCGCGCACCCUG